CGCUGACUGGAGCUCGCUCAGCCUCAGAGACACGAGGCUUUUCCAACACAUUUUUUCACAGCCAGAUUUCUGUUGAUUUGCAGAAGUGAUGGUGGUCAGAGCGGCUUCCUGAGGCUGCAUGUUCUGGGAUGAACAGGGCCCAGUGACUUCCCUGCAGGAGCAAAUCUGGACCCCCGGAGCCCAGCCCUGGCCCCGGGGGUCCAGUAAGCUAACCAUGGAGAAAUCC